CAGAUGUCCAAUUGCUUAUUUCUCCGGUAGGUUAUUCAGUCAGACUUCACCUUCUCUUUAAUGUAAUCUUUAUAGUCUGAGCUGUUAGGAUUUCGACUCACAUUGCAUCAUGUACUGGGAUGUGAUAGCAUUUGGGGUUGCGAUUGUAGAUGUAAAGUGCAAAAGACGGUGAGGGCUAAGUGGAUGUGCUAUAGCACUUUGAGGUCGUGAUUGUAGCUGUGGAGGAAAAUACGAGAAUGUCUAGUGUAUAUCCCACCUGUGGGUUAUGGUGGGCUGUUGCUGUCCAUCAGGGUUGCAGAGGUCAGGUUGAGCUUGGUGUUACGUUUGGUACUGAUGAGUGAUUCCUGGUUUGGUUGGUGGAUUGUUGUCUGUUGACCCCUACUCCAAUGGAUCUUCUUCCAUUAAUCACAUCUCUUUAUAGUGGGCCUUUGGAAUUCUUAUUUGUAGUUGAAAGUACGGAAGAUCCAACUUACCAUGUUGUAUCUGUGCUGAUUAAAGAAUAUGAGGUAAAUAAUCUCUUUCCCAUCUAACUCAGCUAUCAUGACAAUUAAGGUUAGGUAAGUAAGCACUUGCUACAAUAUAUCUUUCCUGGGAUGUGCUACAAUUGCAAGCAUCUAGGCAGUUUUGAGUUAUGCCUAAUAUAUUAUCUUUUUAUUGUGAUUCAUCACUGAUGUCAGAUUUAGGCAAUGCGAUCAAUCUUUGGGGCUUUGUGCACUUUGUAGUCUCCAUAGUAGUGAAGCACUCACCAGUCAUAAAAGAUAGUGUUGAUGCGAAGAUUCUUAUAGCUGGUUUGUCAACAACAUGCAGUCAGAAAAUUCACAAUCAGUUAGUAUGUAAAUUGUAUAGCGUUCAUACCUUUUCUUCUCUUAAAAAAUCAGUUAGUAUGCAAGUUGUAAAGUGUUCUUACCUUUUUCUUCUCUUGAAAAAUUCAAUAUAUUUUCUUUUGAUAUAUGAUUUCUGCAGAUUUUCAUAGGGAAUUUUCUCAAUGUAAAAAAAAAUUGUUUUCUUUUCUGCAAAUAAGGCCAUUGUUCCUCCCUUCCUCUGUCAUUUGAUCAUACUUAGAACUUUUUUAUGGGUAAAUAUUCUUCAUUGGAAGGAAACUAGAAAUGUAACAAUCAAAAUACAAUCAAAGUUCCCCAAAAGAUACACGAAUCUCCACAUAGUUUGAAAGUGCUUUUUAGGUGCUUGUGGGCCUGUUUUUUCUUGUAAUCUUUUUAUUUCUUCUUAUUUUUAAUUGGGUUUUGGUUUUCAAACUACAAGUUGGGAUGGUAAUGUGAUUACAGGUCCCAUUAACAACAGUUUUUUCUUUGUUUAUUGACAUGGGUUUUUAAUCUUUUGAUUUUUAUUUUUUUCUCCUAUAGUUUCUGAGUCUUUUCUGUCUUAUUUGGAUUGAGUUUGUCUUGCUUUUACAUAAGGUUUGGUGGAGAUGUGAGUACAGGUUAUAUAUACAGACGUGGGUCCAUCAGAUGAGCAGCCGGUAUCAGUAGGUUGUGUGUAAAGGAUAGAUGACCUUUAAUACAUGGUUAACUCAAAUUGUUCAAGGAAGUGAAAGGUAAUGAGAUCACCUUGAACCAUUGCUAGUUACCUCUAGCCUAACCAGGCUAGAAAAAAACCUGCAAGUGAAUCUAUUUUUCAAAAUCUAGUAGGAUGGUGUCCAACUGCCCAAGAUUUCCUUCCAGUUAAAAUAUGAGAAUCCAUUACUGCCCAAACAGGUAGAAAUCAUAUUCUGAUUUAUAGAUGUCUUCAGUAGUAGUUUUUUCUUUUUCUUUUUUCUUUUUUUUUCUUUUUUUUUUUGUAUCUUUCCCUGGACCAUUUGUUUUUCCUCUUGAUGGUUUUAGGUAAAGGAAUCAUGGCUGGAAGUUCAACUUUGUGAAGAGAAAACCCCAUAGUCAUAUUGCCAACAAAACAAGUCAGUCAAAGAUAUUCAGAUUUCCUAAGCAUAGCAGUGAGGAAAUGGUAAAAAAUGAUUACUGUCAGGUGCUUGGAGAAGAAUAAUCUGUACGGUUUAGAUAACUAUUAUAAAUGAUAGUUAUAAUAGUUAUAACUUACUGGUCAUUAUGUCCCAAUACUUGCAACAAUAAUGAUAAUGCUGCUUGGAGAAGAAUAAUCUGUACGGUUCUGUCAUAAAGUCUGGGUUGUAGUUUCUAUUAUUUUGUUUUAAUGUUAGGAGUUUCAUUGUAAUAUGUUUUGUCCCAUGCUAUCACUAAACAAUGGAUGGUAUUACAAAAAUAAGAGAAAGCAUAUGCACACAUAGUUCAAAUUUCACUAUCAUUUAUGCCCAUGAUAUUUUUUCUUGCCAGAUGCCAUGGUUCCAAAUGUCGUCUGAAUGCAUCGUGUCACGUGUUUUGUAUUUAUUGAAGUACCUUUGAUAUGACACACUCUGAUGUUUUGAAACUAGACAAGUGCCACAUUUGGCAAGUGUUCAACUGGAGACAUUGAAUGAAGAAGAGUGAUUUUUAUUUUUUAUUUUUUAUUUUUGCUAUCGAGACUUUUGCAUCAACAGGCUGCAUCACUACCAAAGAACUGUGUACUAUGAUGAGAUCUCUUUGGCAAAAUCCAACUGAAGCUGAGCUCCAAGAUCUCUUUAUUAUUAUUUUUUCUCUGGUCUUUUCUGAAGAAUUCUCAAUGUCAUGCUCAAUUAAAAAUGAUGGCUCAUAUAUGACAUUUUCAACUUGAAACAGAGCUGCUUUUGUGAAAUUGAUUGAGGGGUUAUCUUUAACUUGAUUGAACUGAUUGAUUACUAUUUGCAGCUGAGCAUAUUUCUCUUAUGGGUAAAUUGUACAAAGAACAAAACAGUUUUCUGCAUAUCGUUUCUUGUUUCUACUCUUCACUGUAUGUGGUCUUAAUCUGUUGUCAAUGACAUUCAAGAACUUAAAGUAGGAUUCAAGCCUGAACUUGGUUCUUUGAAGUAUUACCAUGGUUUGUCACAUGGAUGUGAAAUAGCUCCUUGCCAGUACAAUACGUAA